GGCAGGGGGCUGUUGCAGAAGUCCUGGCGGCAGCAGUGGCCCUGGAGAGGCAGAAGAGGACAUGCAGAAGUGCAGGUGCUGGAACCAGCGUUACCCUGCGGCUAUCUGGAUGUGUGGUGUGAGGAGAGAGGGAGCCUCAGGGUUGGCUCCUGUGCUCCAGCUUGGGUGAGUGUUUUGUGGGACCUGCAGAACACCAGGGAAGACGGCUUGAAAAGGAAGAUUGACGAGUUUGUGAGUUUGAGUUGCCCGAUUGCUGUCCCCGUGGAGGUUCUGGGAAGACAGCUGGGUGUACUGAUCUGGGGCUCAGGAGAAAACAUGGGUCAUACACAGGUGUGUGUGGGUUUGGAAGCCGGAAGUUGAGGGUCUUUUUAUCUUAUGAUGACUUCUAUUUUCUCUGAGUCUGGGAGUCUUGGAAAGGACAGAGGAGUGUGGAGAGAGCUGGCUGCAGAGAGUGUAGACAUGAAGGGCUCGGAGCAUCCUUGCCUUUAAGCAGCUGUGGAUUAAUCGAGGACCAGGCACUUGCUGGUGUUGUUCUAACAGAAGGGCUGGAGCCUCCUUAGACAACUUCAUGAAAGAGUGUUUUAUGAGCUACAGAAUGAGCCAUGCAGUGUGGAACGAGGGCUGCCUCUUCUUGGGGAAGUUCUCAUGCAAGCGAAAGAACACCCGCUUUGCAGACAGGCGGCCCUGGCUUCUAAUCCCAGUUUUGCUUCCUUUCAUUAGUGUGU